GAUGGACGCUGGCGGCGUGCCUAAUACAUGCAAGUCGAGCGAACGGACGAGAAGCUUGCUUUUCUGAUGUUAGCGGCGGACGGGUGAGUAACACGUGGAUAACCUACCUAUAAGACUGGGAUAACUUCGGGAAACCGGAGCUAAUACCGGAUAAUAUUUUGAACCGCAUGGUUCAAAAGUGAAAGACGGUCUUGCUGUCACUUAUAGAUGGAUCCGCGCUGCAUUAGCUAGUUGGUAAGGUAACGGCUUACCAAGGCAACGAUGCAUAGCCGACCUGAGAGGGUGAUCGGCCACACUGGAACUGAGACACGGUCCAGACUCCUACGGGAGGCAGCAGUAGGGAAUCUUCCGCAAUGGGCGAAAGCCUGACGGAGCAACGCCGCGUGAGUGAUGAAGGUCUUCGGAUCGUAAAACUCUGUUAUUAGGGAAGAACAUAUGUGUAAGUAACUGUGCACAUCUUGACGGUACCUAAUCAGAAAGCCACGGCUAACUACGU
rnacentral:rRNA from 1 species